CUGAGGAACGUGGGGACCUCACAGAGGCAGGCGCAGCCGGCUCAUCGAGAUGUGUGGACAGCAGAAAGCGAGUGAGGCAAGAGAAAAUCAGCACAGGCCUCUAUCCUGAAGAGCGUUGGACCCUGGAGCUGCUGGCCACAUCUUGAUCUGCCAUAUGUGGUCCAAGAAUGAAGUCAACACGAAGGAGAAUGAAGGUGCUGAGGGAUAAAGUUAUUGACAUUCUAGGAGCUCCUGGAUCAAACCAUGCCUGAACUCAAUUUAUCCCUUGAACUUUUCAAUUACAUGAAUAAAUCCUCCUUUUGCCUGAGUCAAUGUGGAUUAGUAUCAUUGGCAUUCAGAAGAUUCCUAAAGUCUCAGGUCUUCUGCACAUCUAUAACCAUGGCAAUUGCGGUCCUGCUCUCCUUUCCCCUCCCCUGAGCAGGCAAGCUUUCCUUCUCUAUCAUGUAAACCUCCUGGGUCAUUCAGAGUAUUUCUCAAAUGUUACCUGGAGUUUCCCAAGACUUCAGUUCUCACUGACCAUUUACUUCUUAAACUGCUAGGAUGAUAACCUAUAACUUUGCAUCUAACCAAUCCCUUAGCACUUUCCUUAGAGACUUCUUAGAGAUCUUUUUGAUGCCUAAGGGUAGGAAUCAGGGCUUCUCUAUCUUGUAUAUGCACUGCCCCCCACCCACAGGUCCAUAGAAUAACAGCUGAGGACCUGUAGCUCUACAAGGGCAGGGACUGUCAAACAUGCCAGACUGCACAUGGUAGUUACCACUAGAGGGCUCUGGGUAUGGGCAAUAAGCAGGACUUCUGCAUUUUACAUCUAUGCUAUCAUUCGAGUCUUGUAUGAGCAUUUAUUUUACAAAUCUCUAUCUUGCAAAGCAAACCCUUAGUGUGAAUAACUGAGGAGUGGUGGAUCGGCCAGCUCUUCCGUGCAGUGUUCUAAAGCCUCUUGCUCCUGUCUCUCCUGUGGGAAACCCAUAGUUACGGCUUCAAGCAGAGACCCAAGCACCACCUCAGGGUCUUGACCUUGUGUGGGAAUAAUCUAUCACCAAGAUGCAGACAGAGACAAACUGCUUCACAGAGCAUUUUAUCCCCUAGAAAAUCCCCAACCCCAGCAUCCUGGGUGCUGCCCAACCUCUUCAAAUACAAAGGCAAAUAAAAUAAAUAAAAGUAAAUAUUGUACUCAUAAGCAACAGAAUGCCUAGCAACCAAGAACAAGGGAGGGCUGGAGGAAGAAGGUUGACUUUCGCAGGCCCUUGUGUAUAAACUGCAGUAAAAGUCUUCUCUGUGUGAAUAAUAUAUUUUUGAGCGUUAAAUUAUAGAAGGUGUAAGGAAUGCUAAGGCUGAGACCCAACAGAGAGAGCUGGCCCCACCCUGAAUGGGAGGGGCAGGGGUCUCCUUGGUCUUUGUCCCUGCUGACUGGUAUUGAGGGAGGGGGAGUCUCCGCUGUAGCUUCAGGAAUGGAACACAGGGCACCAGGCCUCAGUUAAUCCCUUUAGGGACCCUUAGCCCUGAAACAAUGCUGGUGCAACCCCACAUGUAACUCAGAAGAAAAUGUUAAGUCACGAAAUAAAUGUAAGAGCUCUGAUGUUUUUCUAUAACACCCAUUUCAAUGCUUUGUUAGAAAGUAUGUACGUAAAGCACAUGACAUUGUUCUCAUUAAAUUUUUUUGUUACGAAAACUUUUAAACACACUCAGAAGAGUAGGAUUUUUGAACCUCUCAUCUGGGUACAAUAUUAUUAAAAUUCUGC
rnacentral:lncRNA from 10 species